ACCUCCAAUAGAUCACAAAUCUUCUAUUCUUACUCUUGAGGCUUUCGAAUCAAAACUUGAUAAAAUUAUGAUUUUGUUCCUGAAAUAUAAUAAAUAUUUUUUUCAAGCCAAAAUUAUUGUAACCCCCUCAAAUAUUUUGUAAUCAUCAAAAUCAAUUUAUGGAGCAACACUUUCAAUUGAAACUCAAUCCCAGCAAGUGCACAUUCAACAUCACCUCUGAUAAAUUCUUAGGCUUCAUGAUAAAAGAAAGAAAAAAUAUUUCUUUUCAGAUAGCUCAGAUUACAUCUAAAUUUUUUUUAUUAAUCUAUAUGAAUAAGAAUCAAAUUCUUACUCGAUUAGCAGUGAAAUCAGAGAUCAAAUCUUCAAAAAUUUGAAACAAUCCUUUGUGGAGGCUUGAAAGUGCAGACUUUCUACUUCGCAUUCACGCCAAACACCGCAGGAAAGUG
rnacentral:lncRNA from 1 species